rnacentral:rRNA from 1 species
AUACGUACUGUGCGAACGUUAUUCGGAAUCACUGGGCUUAAAGGGUGCGUAGGCGGUUGUUUAAGUAGGGUGUGAAAUCCCCCGGCUCAACCGGGGAACUGCGCUCUAAACUGGACAACUUGAGUGAGAUAGGGGUGUGCGGAACUUCCGGUGGAGCGGUGAAAUGUGUUGAUAUCGGAAGGAACACCAGUAGCGAAGGCGGCACACUGGGUCUCAACUGACGCUGAGGCACGAAAGCUAGGGUAGCGAACGGGAUUAGAAACCCCGGUAGUCC